rnacentral:misc_RNA from 1 species
UCCUCCAAGGGCUUGGGCCAUU